rnacentral:rRNA from 1 species
GACGAACGCUGGCGGCGUGCCUAAUACAUGCAAGUCGAACGCUUCUUUCCUCCCGAGUGCUUGCACUCAAUUGGAAAGAGGAGUGGCGGACGGGUGAGUAACACGUGGGUAACCUACCCAUCAGAGGGGGAUAACACUUGGAAACAGGUGCUAAUACCGCAUAACAGUUUAUGCCGCAUGGCAUAAGAGUGAAAGGCGCUUUCGGGUGUCGCUGAUGGAUGGACCCGCGGUGCAUUAGCUAGUUGGUGAGGUAACGGCUCACCAAGGCCACGAUGCAUAGCCGACCUGAGAGGGUGAUCGGCCACACUGGGACUGAGACACGGCCCAGACUCCUACGGGAGGCAGCAGUAGGGAAUCUUCGGCAAUGGACGAAAGUCUGACCGAGCAACGCCGCGUGAGUGAAGAAGGUUUUCGGAUCGUAAAACUCUGUUGUUAGAGAAGAACAAGGACGUUAGUAACUGAACGUCCCCAGACGGUAUCUAACCAGAAAGCCACGGCUAACUACGUG